rnacentral:rRNA from 1 species
UACGUAGGUGGCAAGCGUUGUCCGGAUUUACUGGGCGUAAAGAGCGCGCAGGCGGCCGAGUAAGUCGAAUGUGAAAGCCCCCGGCUCAACUGGGGAAGGUCAUUCGAUACUGUUCGGCUUGAAGAUAGGAGAGGGAAGCGGAAUUUCAGGUGUAGUGGUGAAAUGCGUAGAUAUCUGAAGGAACACCAGUGGCGAAGGCGGCUUUCUGGCCUAUUCUUGACGCUGAGGCGCGAAAGCCAGGGGAGCAAACGGG